rnacentral:rRNA from 1 species
GUAAUGGCCUACCAGGCGACGACGGGUAGCCGACCUGAGAGGGUGACCGGCCCACUGGGACUGAGACACGGCCCAGACUCCUACGGGAGGCAGCAGUGGGGAAUAUUGCACAUUGGGCGGAAGCCUGAUGCAGCGACGCCGCGUGAGGGAUGAAGGCCUUCGGGUUGUAAACCUCUUUCAGCAGGGACGAAGCGUGAGUGACGGUACCUGCAGAAGAAGCACCGGCUAACUACGUGCCAGCAGCCGCGGUAAUACGUAGGGUGCGAGCGUUGUCCGGAAUUACUGGGCGUAAAGAGUUCGUAGGCGGUCUGUCGCGUCGUUUGUGAAAACCCGGGGCUCAACUUCGGGCUUGCAGGCGAUACGGGCAGACUUGAGUGUUUCAGGGGAGACUGGAAUUCCUGGUGUAGCGGUGAAAUGCGCAGAUAUCAGGAGGAACACCGGUGGCGAAGGCGGGUCUCUGGGCAGUCACUGACGCUGAGGAGCGAGAGCAUGGGUAGCGAACAGGAUUAGAUACCCUGGUAGUCCAUGCUGUAAACGGUGGGCGCUAGG